UGCAUGUCUAAGCACAAACUUUUACACAGUGAAGCUGCGAAUGGCUCAUUAGGCCACCCAUGAUUUCUUAGAUCGUACAAUCCUACUUGGAUAACUGUGGUAAUUCUAGAGCUAAUACAUGCAACAAAGCUCCGACCCCCGUGGGAAAGAGCGCGUUUAUUAGAUCAAAACCAAUCGGGCCUUCCGGUCCGUACUGUUGGUGACUCUGGAUAACUUUGAGCUGAUCGCAUGGCCUCGAGCCGGCGACGUAUCUUUCAAGUGUGUGCCCUAUCAACUUUCGAUGGUACGUGACCUGCCUACCAUGGUUGUAACGGGUAACGGAGAAUCAGGGUUCGAUUCCGGAGAGGGAGCAUGAGAAACGGCUACCACA
rnacentral:rRNA from 1 species